rnacentral:rRNA from 1 species
UACGAAGGGGGCUAGCGUUGCUAGGAAUCACUGGGCGUAAAGCGCACGUAGGCGGCUUCUUAAGUCAGGGGUGAAAUCCUGGAGCUCAACUCCAGAACUGCCUCUGAUACUGAGGAGCUUGAGUCCGAGAGAGGUGAGUGGAACUCCGAGUGUAGAGGUGAAAUUCGUAGAUAUUCGGAAGAACACCAGUGGCUAAGGCGGCUCACUGGCCCGGUACUGACGCUGAGGUGCGAAAGCGUGGGGAGCAAACAGG